GCCUGGAAUAGCUCAGUCAGUAGAGCAGGAGAUUCUUAAUCUCAUGGUUGUGGGCUUGAGCCCGUUGGGCA